UACAGAGGGUGCGAGCGUUAAUCGGAAUUACUGGGCGUAAAGCGUGCGUAGACGGCUAUCUAAGUCGGGUGUGAAAGCCCCCGGGCUCAACCUGGGAAUUGCAUUCGAGACUGAAUAGCUAGGGUACGGUAGAGGGAAGUGGAAUUUCCGGUGUAGCGGUGAAAUGCGUAGAUAUCGGAAGGAACAUCAGUGGCGAAAAGCGACUUCCUGGACCAGUACCGACGUUCAGGCACGAAAGCCGUGGGGAGCAAAGCAGGAAUUAGAAACCCCUGGUAGUCCAAGACCGAAGUACCUCUGCCUACCACAUA
rnacentral:rRNA from 1 species